rnacentral:rRNA from 1 species
GACAGAGGGUGCAAACGUUGUUCGGAAUUACUGGGCGUAAAGCGCACGCAGGCGGUCUGCUAAGUUUGGAGUGACAGUUGGUGGCUUAACUGCCAAAGUGCUUCGAAAACUGACAGACUUGAGGGCUUCAGAGGGACACGGAAUUCCGGGUGGAGUGGUGAAAUGCGCAGAUAUCGGGAAGAACACCCGUGGCGAAGGCGGCUCUCUGGGACGGUACUGACGCUGAGACGCGAAAGCGUGGGGAGCGAACAGG